rnacentral:rRNA from 1 species
AUUAGCCCAGCACCGAAUCCCGCGGCCGAUAUCGGACGCCGGGAAAUGUGGUGUUCGGGAGGAUCCGUUAUCUCGACGUUCGGUUACGCGUCCAAGUCCAUCUUGAACGGGGCCACAGCCCAUAGAGGGUGCCAGGCCCGUAGUGACCGUGACCGGCGGCGAGAGGAUCUCUCCUUAGAGUCGGGUUGCUUGAGAGUGCAGCCCUAAGCGGGUGGUAAACUCCAUCUAAGGCUAAAUAUAACCACGAGACCGAUAGCGAACAAGUACCGUGAGGGAAAGUUGAAAAGCACUUUGAAGAGAGAGUUCAAGAGUACGUGAAACCGUUUAGGGGUAAACCUGAGAAACCCGAAAGGUCGAAGGGAGGAAUUCAUUCGCGGCUCGCGGUAGGGGGCGUGCGUUAGCGUGACGGACGACGUUUCGGCGUCGUUCGCUCUUUUCGUACGUCCAUCCGGCCGCGAACGCGUGCACUUUUCUCCUUGUAGGACGUCGCGAUCCGUUGGGCGUCGGCCUAAGGCUCGAGGUGGAGCCCGCAGACGACGGUUCGCGCCGUUAUCGUUUGCGGACCCUCGAGUUAUCGGUCGACUCGCUCGACGGUAUACGAACGGUUUAAGGCCGCUAUCUUUUUAGCGUUCGACUCGUCGCAAGCGCGUCAGAUGCAMGUCGGUAAUCGGACCCGGUGCCGUUUCCGACCUCUGACGACUGUUGGCGACGAAGUUCUCGGACAGACCUUACUUGACCGAUCCGCGACGCUAUAGCUUUGGGUACUUUCAGGACCCGUCUUGAAACACGGACCAAGGAGUCUAGCAUGUGCGCGAGUCAUUGGGAAUCACUAAACCUAAAGGCGCAAUGAAAGUGAAAAUUCGUCUCGCGCGAAUUAAGGGAAGAUGAGCGGUUUACCCUUAAAAGUGGCCGCUCCGCAUUCCCGGGGCGUCUCGUUCUCAUCGCGAGAAGAGGCGC